AAAAUUCAAAAGAAAUGCAUAUUAAUUCUGUAUUUAGAAAUAAGAGGAAGAUUGCAGCCGUUUUUCGUCAACUUUAAACUCGAUUUUCUCGUAAAGUAUUGAUUCGUUUGAGAAGCUAUAUCCAAAACUCGCAAAUGUUCUUCCUCUGAUUUCUAAAUACAGACAAGCUGGUUAAAAAAACUCAGGAUCACCUCGUAUUUUCAACCUGCUUGUCUGUAUUUAGAAAUCAGAGGAA